GGAGUGGUGGCUCAGUGACAGCGCAUCUAUUUGGCAAGCAGAAGUUCCCAGGUUCAAUUCCUAGUAUUUCCA
rnacentral:tRNA from 1 species